rnacentral:rRNA from 1 species
UACGUAGGGGGCAAGCGUUAUCCGGAUUUACUGGGUGUAAAGGGAGCGUAGACGGCAGGGCAAGUCUGGAGUGAAAGGCAGGGGCCCAACCCCUGGACUGCUCUGGAAACUGUCCGGCUGGAGUGCAGGAGAGGUAAGUGGAAUUCCUAGUGUAGCGGUGAAAUGCGUAGAUAUUAGGAGGAACACCAGUGGCGAAGGCGGCUUACUGGAUUGUAACUGACGCUGAGGCUCGAAAGCGUGGGGAGCAAACAGG